rnacentral:rRNA from 1 species
CUGGCGGCGUGCCUAACACAUGCAAGUCGAACGAGAAAGUGGAGCAAUCCAUGAGUAAAGUGGCGACCGGGUGAGUAACACGUGACUAACCUACCUCCGAAUGGGGAAUAACUCCGGGAAACCGGGGCUAAUACCGCAUAACACCGCAAGGUCAAAGCAGCAAUGCGUUUGGAGAGGGGGUCGCGGCUGAUUAGCUAGUUGGCGGGGUAACGGCCCACCAAGGCGAAGAUCGGUAUCCGGCCUGAGAGGGCGCACGGACACACUGGAACUGAAACACGGUCCAGACUCCUACGGGAGGCAGCAGUGGGGAAUUUUGCGCAAUGGGGGAAACCCUGACGCAGCAACGCCGCGUGGAGGAUGAAGUCCCUUGGGACGUAAACUCCUUUCGACCAAGACGAUAAUGACGGUACUGGUGGAAGAAGCACCGGCUAACUCUGUGCCAGCAGCCGCGGUAAUACAGAGGGUGCAAGCGUUGUUCGGAAUUAUUGGGCGUAAAGGGCGCGUAGGCGGUGCCACAAGUCACUUGUGAAAUCUCCGGGCUUAACUCGGAGCCUGCAGGCGAAACUGUGGUGCUGGAGUAUGGGA